rnacentral:rRNA from 1 species
UACAGAGGUCUCAAGCGUUGUUCGGAUUCAUUGGGCGUAAAGGGCGUGUAGGCGGGAGAGAAAGUCGGGCGUGAAAUCCCUAGGCUCAACCUAGGAACUGCACUCGAAACUUCUUUUCUUGAGUGCCGGAGAGGAAAGCGGAAUACCUGGUGUAGAGGUGAAAUUCGUAGAUAUCAGGUGGAACACCAGUGGCGAAGGCGGCUUUCUGGACGGUAACUGACGCUGAGACGCGAAAGCGUGGGGAGCAAACAGG